rnacentral:rRNA from 1 species
UGGGGAAUAUUGCACAAUGGGCGCAAGCCUGAUGCAGCCAUGCCGCGUGUGUGAAGAAGGCCUUCGGGUUGUAAGGCACUUUCAGCGGGGAGGAAGGCGAUAAGGUUAAUAACCUCAUCGAUUGACGUUACCCGCAGAAGAAGCACCGGCUAACUCCGUGCCAGCAGCCGCGGUAAUACGGAGGGUGCAAGCGUUAAUCGGAAUUACUGGGCGUAAAGCGCACGCAGGCGGUUUGUUAAGUCAGAUGUGAAAUCCCCGGGCUCAACCUGGGAACUGCAUCUGAUACUGGCAAGCUUGAGUCUCGUAGAGGGGGGUAGAAUUCCAGGUGUAGCGAUGAAAUGCGUAGAGAUCUGGAGGAAUACCGGUGGCGAAGGCGGCCCCCUGGACGAAGACUGACGCUCAGGUGCGAAAGCGUGGGGAGCAAACAGG